ACGAACGCUGGCGGCGUGCUUAACCCAUGCAAGUCGAACGGAAAGGCCCUGCUUGCCGGGUACUCGAGUGGCGAACGGGUGAGUAACACGUGGGUGAUCUGCCCUGCACUUCGGGAUAAGCCUGGGAAACUGGGUCUAAUACCGGAUAUGACCUUCCAUGUAGUGUGGGGGGUGGAAAGAUUUAUCGGUGUGGGAUGAGCCCGCGGCCUAUCAGCUUGUUGGUGGGGUAAUGGCCUACCAAGGCGUCGACGGGUAGCCGGCCUGAGAGGGUGGACGGCCACAUUGGGACUGAGAUACGGCCCAGACUCCUACGGGAGGCAGCAGUGGGGAAUAUUGCACAAUGGGCGGAAGCCUGAUGCAGCGACGCCGCGUGGGGGAUGACGGCCUUCGGGUUGUAAACCUCUUUCGACAGGGACGAAGCUUCGGUGACGGUACCUGGAUAAGAAGCACCGGCUAACUACGUG
rnacentral:rRNA from 1 species